CAGACCUUAAUCGGAAAAG
rnacentral:rRNA from 1 species